rnacentral:rRNA from 1 species
AUUGAACGCUGGCGGCGUGCCUAACACAUGCAAGUCGAACGAGUGGCGGACGGGUGAGUAAUGUCUGGGAAACUGCCUGAUGUAGGGGGAUAACUACUGGAAACGGUAGCUAAUACCGCAUACCAUCAGAUGGGCCCAGGUGGGAGUAGCUUGUUGGUGGGGUAACGGCUUUCCAAGGCGACGAUCCCUAGCUGGGCUGCGAGGGUGACCAGCCACACUGGAACUGAGACACGGUCCAGACUCCUACGGGAGGCAGCAGUGGGGAAUAUUGCACAAUGGGCGAAAGCCUGAUGCAGCCAUGCCGCGUGUAUGAAGAAGGCCUUCGGGUUGUAAAGUACUUUCAGCGGGGAGGCGGUACCCGCAGAAGAAGCACCGGCUAACUCCGUGCCAGCAGCCGCGGUAAUAC